UCGUAUUUUAGUUUUAGUGCGGAUCGUGAAUUCCGCCACUAUAUCACAGUCGAUCGUUCGCAUCGCAUGCUUAUAGAAGGAACAAGAAGACGUUGAACGGCGACUCGAUCGGAAUGAUGCUGUGUUUUAUUCUGAAGCCGGUGAGAACGGUGACUUCGAGUAAUGGAGCGCUAGCUCCGUUUUCAAGUUCAGCACUAAUGACGCGAUUUUCCUCUGCAUUAUGUUGAUACUAGAAUACAUGCCUAGAAAAGAAAGGGAAGCAUGAAGAGGAUGCCUUCUGCUGCUAAUGCAACGAAUGGUUUUGGUAAUCAAUCGGUAACUAUUGCAUCUCUUUUGCUUUUUAUACUCUUGCAUGUGGUGAUCCAGAUUAAUUAGUUGCAUUAACUUAGUACUAUUAUGAUCUGCUCAUGAGGUAAAUACUAUGAUUUCAUAUUCACUAAAACUAUGAUAAAGAAAUGAUAAAGGGGACUUUGGAAUGCUGAUGAAAAUUAACCUAAAUGAAAAGGACUAUAACUUGUUGUUUUGAA